UACGUAGGGGGCUAGCGUUGUUCGGAAUCAUUGGGCGUAAAGAGCGUGUAGGCGGCCCGGUAAGUCCGCUGUGAAAGUCCAGGGCUCAACCCUGGGAUGCCGGUGGAUACUGUCGGGCUCGAGUCCGGAAGAGGAGUGUGGAAUUCCUGGUGUAGCGGUGAAAUGCGCAGAUAUCAGGAGGAACACCAAUGGCGAAGGCAGCACUCUGGGACGUGACUGACGCUGAGACGCGAAAGCGUGGGUAGCAAACAGG
rnacentral:rRNA from 1 species